GUUCGGGUGAACCAUGGUUAAGGAACUCGGCAAAUUGUCCCCGUAACUUCGGGAGAAGGGGAGCCCUGUCUGGUGAAGGACUGUGCGUCUGGAGCUGGGUGGGGUCGCAGAUACCAGGGGGAAGCGACUGUUUACUAAAAACACAGGUCCGUGCGAAGUCGUAAGACGCUGUAUACGGACUGACGCCUGCCCGGUGCCGGAACGUUAAGAGGACCGGUUAGACACCUUUGGGUGUUGAAGCUGGGAAUCUAAGCGCCGGUAAACGGCGGUGGUAACUAUAACCAUCCUAAGGUAGCGAAAUUCCUUGUCGGGUAAGUUCCGACCUGCACGAAUGGCGUAACGACUUCCCCGCUGUCUCAACCAUGGGCCCGGUGAAAUUGCAGUACGAGUAAAGAUGCUCGUUUCGCGCAGCAGGACGGAAAGACCCCGGGACCUUCACUAUAGCUUGACAUUGGUGUUUGGGAUGGUUUGUGUAGGAUAGGUGGGAGCCGGUGAAGCCGCCACGCUAGUGGUGGUGGAGGCGUUGGUGAAAUACCACUCUGGCUGUUUCGGGCAUCUAACCUUGGGCCGUGAUCCGGUUCGGGGACAGUGCCUGGUGGGUAGUUUAACUGGGGCGGUUGCCUCCUAAAGGGUAACGGAGGCGCCCAAAGGUUCCCUCAGCCUGGUUGGUAAUCAGGUGGUGAGUGUAAGUGCACAAGGGAGCUUGACUGUGAGACGGACGUGUCGAGCAGGUGCGAAAGCAGGGCCUAGUGAUCCGGCAUCUACGUGUGGAAGUGGUGUCGCUCAACGGCUAAAAGGUACCCCGGGGAUAACAGGCUGAUCUUCCCCAAGAGUCCAUAUCGACGGGAUGGUUUGGCACCUCGAUGUCGGCUCGUCGCAUCCUGGGGCUGGAGUCGGUCCCAAGGGUUGGGCUGUUCGCCCAUUAAAGCGGUACGCGAGCUGGGUUUAGAACGUCGUGAGACAGUUCGGUCCCUAUCCGCUGCGCGCGUAGGAAAUUUGAGAAGGGCUGUCCCUAGUACGAGAGGACCGGGACGGACCAACCUCUGGUGUGCCAGUUGUUCCGCCAGGAGCACGGCUGGUUAGCUACGUUGGGAAGGGA
rnacentral:rRNA from 1 species